AGACCGCAUAGCCGAUAAGCAGAAUAUAAACAUCCGAAUCACCAUCCAGCUGCAUCAUCAUCAACAAUCACAACUUAUCGGACCACCCGGAGACCAAGAAUAAACAAUCAACCGUUCACAAGAAUCGAUAUCAGCAUCGCGCUGAUGCCAUGAAUAAACAUUCCCACAUUCAAGAUGUUGUAAACACAAAUCAUUGAUAUAUAUAAGCAGGGACAAUGAAUGUAAGGAUAGAGUUAAAUUUGAAUAGUGAAUAGAUGCACAUCGUGUGCUCGAAAAGAAGAAAUUGUUUUUUUUAAGUAAAGUUUAGUGUUUAAGAUUAACUGGCGCCCGAAUAGGGACCUUGCCAAGUGAAAGUAGUGCCAAGGAAGUGAGACAAGUGAAGUGAUAGGGUGAACGAUAGAGUUACCACCCACACUAUCCGAAAAAAAUAUCCGAACGCACGAAGCCUCUCUGGACCGCAGGACCUCUGCAGCCGUGUGGAAGAGCCCCUCAGUAGCCACAACAGUUAGGAGCUCGCUUGUGGACCAAACAGGAAUUUGCCGCCACACUGGGAAGGAAGGAAGACACUUCAAGGAUCCCGACCAACCAGUCUCGCUGAACCCGCCAGCGGUUGGAUAAAUCAAAAGGUGAUAAUAGGACAUCGAGACAAAAGUACUGGACACGCGCACCGAAGCUUUUCGAGACGUCACUGAAAGAGGAUUGACAUCCGAAAGUACGUUGUUCCGCAGUCUUGUGGUGUUCCCACAAGAUGUUCAGGAUUUACAUACGUAAACAAAAGGCCAACAUAACAGUCCACUUCGACAAAAACGCUGAGACCAUCCUAAUAAAUGAGCCACCAAAAACAACGGAAAUUAAACCUGACACCAACAACACAGAGGAAUUAUCAGACGAAAGAAAAAAACAACUUCAAGCAUUCUUUGAUGCACCAACACCA